UACGAAGGGGGCUAGCGUUGCUCGGAAUUACUGGGCGUAAAGGGUGCGUAGGCGGCUUCUUAAGUCUGUUGUGAAAGCCCUGGGCUCAACCUGGGAAUGGCAAUGGAUACUGGCAGGCUAGAGUGCGGUAGAGGGUAGUGGAAUUCCCGGUGUAGCGGUGAAAUGCGUAGAGAUCGGGAGGAACACCAGUGGCGAAGGCGGCUACCUGGACCAGCACUGACACUGAGGCACGAAAGCGUGGGGAGCAAACAGGG
rnacentral:rRNA from 1 species